rnacentral:rRNA from 1 species
UAAUACGUAGGGUGCAGGCGUUAAUCGGAAUUACUGGGCGUAAAGCGUGCGCAGGUGGUUUCUUAAGUCAGAUGUGAAAGCCCCGGGCUUAACCUGGGAACUGCGUUUGAAACUGGGAGACUUGAGUGUGGCAGAGGGGGGUGGAAUUCCACGUGUAGCAGUGAAAUGCGUAGAUAUGUGGAGGAACACCGAUGGCGAAGGCAGCCCCCUGGGUUAACACUGACGCUCAUGCACGAAAGCGUGGGGAGCAAACAGGAUUAGAUACCCUGGUAGUCCACGCCCUAAACUAUGUCAACUGGUUGUCGGGGGAUUGAUUCCCUUGGUAACGAAGCUAACGCGUGAAGUUGGCCGCCUGGGGAGUACGGCCGCAAGGUUA